GCCCCAGUGGCUCAGCUGGUAGAGCCAAGGCCUCGGCCUUACUGCAGCAGCCCAGGUUUGAAUCUGGCCUGGGCCC